GGGUAUGGCUGUUCGCCAUUUAAAGUGGUACGCGAGCUGGGUUUAGAACGUCGUGAGACAGUUCGGUCCCUAUCUGUCGUGGGCGCUGGAGAACUGAGGGGGGCUGCUCCUAGUACGAGAGGACCGGAGUGGACGCAUCACUGGUGUUCGGGUUGUCAUGCCAAUGGCACUGCCCGGUAGCUAAAUGCGGAAGAGAUAAGUGCUGAAAGCAUCUAAGCACGAAACUUGCCCCGAGAUGAGUUCUCCCUGAGACUUAGAGUCUCCUGAAGGAACGUUGAAGACGACGACGUUGAUAGGCCGGGUGUGUAAGCGCAGCGAUGCGUUGAGCUAACCGGUACUAAUGAACCGUGAGGCUUAACCUU
rnacentral:rRNA from 1 species